UUACCUUCAAGACAUUCUGCAGAAGUUGCCAAACGUAUUUUUGGCACGAAAGUCAAUAAAUACUGAAUCUGGCAUGUGUGUAUCGACGUAUUCGCAUUAUAAGACUGCACUUGUAAGUAUAGAGGUACUCGACCAGCUUCAGGUGUGCUCAAUGAGGUAUUGUUCAUUAUUCUUUUAGAAUCCCUGACGUGUUUAGCCAAUAAGUAGAGUAUUGAGCAGUCUGAUUGUCAGGCUCAGCAGCAACAACAAUGACAACCACGUUUCCUGGACCUGGUUGAUAAACGCAUCAAACUCCUUCAUCUGCUUCCCAACUUUCCCAGCACAAAGACCUGAAAACAAAUAUGCACAAAAACACCACAAAGUAUCAAGAACAUUUUUUAGAUGCAGCAUCAUUUUAAUAAUGCGUUAUACUUAUCUGAUAUUUAGCAAACGUUGAAGAGAAACGAAGCACAGAUAGCUGUUUGCUGCAAAACCAAGGCGUCGACGAUCAGCUGAUACCAUUGAUAAUCUAGAAGUUGAUAGACUAUGAUAAAUUAUAUGAUUUCCAUUGAUCACGUAACUCGAUCGAACUUCAGGCUAUCACACAAUAAUCCGCAAGUGAAGAGGAAACGUUUUAUAGAGAGAAAGCCGUCUGGCCGUGAUGUUUUUUCCCCUCUGUUACGGCUAUUGCAGGAUGGUAACAUAGAUCUCACAUGUGCCGAUUACCAGCUGAUACUAUUCGUAACCCAUAUGAGCGCGUUAUAUGAUUUUCACUUACUUGAAUUAAUUAAUUAAUUUUAUUGAAAAUCUAUAAACCAACGAUUCCUUCGUAAUCCGCAAAUGAGGAGGAAUCGAUUCGCAAGGGUAUGUUGAUUAUAUACCUACAACAUUCGAUCUUACACCUGUAAUUAUUAGUUGCCCGUGAUGGUUACUUGUUUGGUAAUUUUGCGUUACCUACAUUAUUAAAAAUGCUCAUAAAAUAAAUUAAUAAAUUAAUAAAUGACUAAUUCACUCCUAUUAUUUAUUUAACACAAAAAAAAAUCAGCUGCAGGGAUUAGAACCCCGACUGCAAAAUUAGCAUGCCAGACCUUAGCUACCAAGGCCAACAACUCGAUUACAUAUAAAUUAUUGAAUGUCACAUAUGAUCAUCGUCCCCUCGUAGGGGCUUGAAUUUUGCUUAAAUUUAAGCUUUAGUUGGAACUUACGUUUAAUUUUAAAUUUAAACUUUAAAGUUACAAGAUGGUUCGCAGUAAUUAUAAGGCCUAUAAUAUAUCCCAAUAAAAAAGAAACAAGGCGAUAAAUUUCUUAAACAAUACUAUCGAUAACUCUGAGCUAUUAGACGAUAAUCCGCAAGUGAGGAGGGAACGAUUUAUGCUGUAACAUAUCAUCGAACAUCAUUUAUUAUGAAUAAUCAUUGAUUUUUAGUCGCACCAGUUCAGCGCCCGCAGAUGUGUAGGUACGCUCCAGAAUGCGAGUAUACAUGGGUAAAGAAUCAGGCUAUAAUUCCCUUUGAUAAUGUAGCUUAAUGGAAUUUUGAGUUUUCAGAAGAUAAUCCGCAAGUGAGGAGGAAUUGAUUUAUGCCAUAAUAUGCACCUCAGAUACAUCGAUUAUGCAUAAUUAUACGGUUUUUUGUUCAUUGCUACAGCUCCGCGCUACUUGAAAUGCCGGAACGCGCGGAACGCGAACCGCCGAUACGCCGAGUUUCCCGAUGAAGAGGAAUCGAUUCGUGUAACAAAACAUUACAUUUAGAGAGUUUUUUUAUGAUACUGUGGGAAAAUCAAAUUCCAGCGCCGCGCCUGAAUCGGCGAUUUUCUUUUUGCAAUAUCUCGAAAACGGAAAAUCCGCAAGUGAAAAUUUUUGUGGAGGUUAUUUCCGCAAGUGAGGAGGAAUCGUUUUAGGUAGAGUAAAUUCAUAAAAAAUAAUAUUUUUUUAUUUCGGGCGCCAGCUUCACAAGUCUAACAUUUUCUUAAGUAUUCUUAAGUAUUGGAUGCGCGCGCAGCGGAAAUGCGCGGCCAGCGCAGAGCAUUAAGACGAAUAAUACUUAAUAGAAAAGAAAAAGAAAUGUCAACGGUGCUGAAGCAAUUAAAGCCUCAUAUAAGAGACAAUUUCCGGCUAGAGAGGGCCUAAUCAUCUAGCUGUCGAUCCAGCGACUCCAGCGACCCGCACAUGGAAAUAUGGAUUUUAAAAAAAGCUCUAUACGCAAAAAUAUUCGAAAUACUUGUGAGAUUCCCGCAUAUUAUUUCCUCACUCGCUCGGCCG
rnacentral:lncRNA from 1 species